GUCACCACGUGGAUAACCUGCCCUUGAGACGGGGAUAAACCCGGGAAAACUGGGUAUAAUACCCGAUAGAUCUCGGCUGCUGGAAUGCACCGAGUUCUAAAGCUCCGGCGCUCAAGGAUGGAUCUGCGGCCUAUCAGGUAGUAGUGGGUGUAGCGUACCUACUAGCCUACGACGGGUACGGGUUGUGAGAGCAAGAGCCCGGAGAUGGAUUCUGAGACACGAAUCCAGGCCCUACGGGGUGCAGCAGGCGCGAAAACUUUACAAUGCUGGAAACAGCGAUAAGGGGACCUCGAGUGCCAGGUUACAAAUCUGGCUGUCGUGAUGCCUAAAAAGCAUUGCAUAGCAAGGGCCGGGCAAGACCGGUGCCAGCCGCCGCGGUAACACCGGCGGCUCGAGUGGUAACCGUUAUUAUUGGGUCUAAAGGGUCUGUAGCCGGCCGGAUAAGUCUCUUGGGAAAUCUGGCAGCUUAACUGUCAGGCUUUCAGGAGAUACUGUCUGGCUCGAGGCCGGGAGAGGUGAGAGGUACUUCAGGGGUAGGGGUGAAAUCUUGUAAUCCUUGAAGGACCACCAGUGGCGAAGGCGUCUCACCAGAACGGACCUGACGGCAAGGGACGAAAGCUAGGGGCACGAACCGGAUUAGAUGCCCGGGUAGUCCUAGCCGUAAACGAUACUCGCUAGGUGUCGGCCACGGUGCGACCGUUGUCGGUGCCGUAGGGAAGCCGUGAAGCGAGCCACCUGGGAAGUACGGCCGCAAGGCUGAAACUUAAAGGAAUUGGCGGGGGAGCACCACAACGGGUGGAGCUUGCGGUUUAAUUGGAUUCAACGCCGGAAAUCUUACCGGGACCGACAGCAAUAUGAAGGCCAGGCUGAAGACUUUGCCGGAUUAGCU
rnacentral:rRNA from 1 species